GAUGAAGAACGCAGCGAAAUGCGAUAAGUAGUGUGAAUUGCAGAAUUCAGUGAAUCAUCGAAUCUUUGAACGCACAUUGCGCCCCUUGGUAUUCCAUGGGGCAUGCCUGUUCGAGCGUCAUUUGUACCUUCAAGCUCUGCUUGGUGUUGGGUGUUUGUCUCGCCUUUGCGUGUAGACUCGCCUUAAAACAAUUGGCAGCCGGCGUAUUGAUUUCGGAGCGCAGUACAUCUCGCGCUUUGCACUCAUAACGACGACGUCCAAAAGUACAUUUUUACACUCUUGACCUCGGAUCAGGUAGGGAUACCCGCUGAACUUAAGCAUAUCAAUAAGCGGAGGA
rnacentral:misc_RNA from 1 species